GCAGGAGAGGGGUGUGUGUGUGUGUGUGUGUGUGUGUGUGUGUGUAUGGUGUGGGAGUGUGUGUGUGUAUGUGUGUGGGAGAGAGCAUGUGUGUGGUAUAUGUAUAUGUAUGCGUGUGUAUGUGUAUGUAUGUGUGUGUGCAUGUAGGGAGAAUGUAUGUGAGUAUAUGUGUGAGUGUGUGUGUAUGUGUGUGAUGUGAGUGUGGGGGGGAGUGAGGGGAGAUUGUCUGUGAGUAUGUGUGUGUGUGUGCGCGUGAGUGCCUGUGUGUGUGUGUGAUGUGAGUGUGGGAGGAAUGAGGGGGGCUGUGUGUGAGUAUGUGUGAGUAUGUGUGAGUGUGAGUGCCUGGGUGUGUGUUUGAGUAUGUGUGAGUGUGUGUGUGUGAGUGCCUGGGUGUGUGUGUGUGAGUAUGUGUGAGUGUGUGUGUGAGUGCCUGGGUGUGUGUGUGAGUAUGUGUGAGUGUGUGUGUGUGAGUGCCUGGGUGUGUGUGUGUGAGUAUGUGUGAGUGUGUGUGUGAGUGCCUGGGUGUGUGUGAGAGUAUGUGUAUGAGGGUGUAUGAGUGUGUGUCACUUUGUGUGUUAUUAUGGACUGAACCCAUCCAGAGACUUGACCUCUCCCAAUGUGCUACCUCUUCAGCCUUUCUCUUGCUCCUCUUCUGGAGGAGGCAAUGUCUCCUAUGUGGCCUAGGCUGGUCUUGAACUCACAGCAACCUUCCUGCCUUGGGAUCAAGUGUUGAGAUUGGAUUUCGGAAAUGCACCUUAGAGACCGAACAUUGCAUGGUAAGCACACAGGAGGGGUAAAAAGAGCAGCGAGCAGGGAAGUUUUCUGAGGGGCCACACGACUCUUCACGAUUCUAUCCAAGGCUUCCUUCUGUUUUCAGAGAGAUCACAGGGCUCUUUAUGAUCCAGGGCUUCCUUCUGUGCCUAGA
rnacentral:lncRNA from 1 species